rnacentral:rRNA from 1 species
UACGGAAGGCAGCAGUGGGGAAUAUUGCACAAUGGGCGCAAGCCUGAUGCAGCCAUGCCGCGUGUAUGAAAAGGCCUUCGGGUUGUAAAGUACUUUCAGUCGUGAGGAAGGUGUUAAGGUUAAUAACCUUAGCAAUUGACGUUAGCGACAGAAGAAGCACCGGCUAACUCCGUGCCAGCAGCCGCGGUAAUACGGAGGGUGCGAGCGUUAAUCGGAAUUACUGGGCGUAAAGGGCACGCAGGCGGUUAAUUAAGUUGGAUGUGAAAUCCCCGGGCUUAACCUGGGAAUGGCAUUCAAGACUGGUUAGCUAGAGUCUUGUAGAGGGGGUAGAAUUCCAUGUGUAGCGGUGAAAUGCGUAGAGAUGUGGAGGAAUACCGGUGGCGAAGGCGGCCCCUGGACAAAGACUGACGCUCAUGUGCGAAAGCGUGGGGAGCAAACAGGGAUUAGAUA